rfam:Triticum urartu cultivar G1812 contig102519, whole genome shotgun sequence.
UGUCUACUCUCUCCGUUCAGAAUUACUUGUCGCAGAAAUGGAUGUAUCUAGAUGUAUUUUAGUUCUAUAUACAUCCAUAUUCGAGACAAGUAAUCCCGAACGGAGGGAGUACUAC